rnacentral:snoRNA from 1 species
UAGAAGCAUUUUGAAAUGCUUUGAGGCCUUGCCCUGCUCUAUCCAGAGCAAGGUUAUAGAAAUUUCA